rnacentral:piRNA from 1 species
UGAGCAAAUAAAAGGGUUGAAAAUGUUG